AUUGAACGCUGGCGGCAUGCCUUACACAUGCAAGUCGAACGGUAACAGGUCUUCGGAUGCUGACGAGUGGCGCACGGGUGAGUAAUACAUCGGAACGUGCCCGAUCGUGGGGGAUAACGAAGCGAAAGCUUUGCUAAUACCGCAUAAGAUCUACGGAUGAAAGCAGGGGACCGCAAGGCCUUGCGCGAACGGAGCGGCCGAUGGCGGAUUAGGUAGUUGGUGGGAUAAAAGCUUACCAAGCCGACGAUCUGUAGCUGGUCUGAGAGGAUGACCAGCCACACUGGGACUGAGACACGGCCCAGACUCCUACGGGAGGCAGCAGUGGGGAAUUUUGGACAAUGGGCGAAAGCCUGAUCCAGCCAUGCCGCGUGCAGGAUGAAGGCCUUCGGGUUGUAAACUGCUUUUGUACGGAAGGAAAAGACUCUGGUUAAUACCUGGGGUCCAUGACGGUACCGUAAGAAUAAGCACCGGCUAACUACGUG
rnacentral:rRNA from 1 species